UACGUAGGGGGCAAGCGUUGUCCGGAUUCAUUGGGCGUAAAGAGCGUGUAGGCGGCCAGGUAGGUCGGUUGUGAAAACUGGAGGCUCAACCUUCAGAGGUCGACCGAAACCAUCUGGCUAGAGUCCGGGAGAGGAGACUGGAAUUUACGGUGUAGCGGUGAAAUGCGUAGAUAUCGUAAGGAAGACCAGUGGCGAAGGCGGGUCUCUGGACAGUUCCUGACGCUGAGGCACGAAGGUCAGGGGAGCAAACGGG
rnacentral:rRNA from 1 species